rnacentral:rRNA from 1 species
UACAGAGGGUGCGAGCGUUGUCCGGAAUCACUGGGCGUAAAGGGCGCGUAGGUGGCGACCCAAGUCGAUGGUGAAAGCUCGCCGCUCAACGGCGAGUCGGCCACCGAUACUGGGUUGCUGGAGCACUGUAGAGGCUCAUGGAAUUCCGGGUGUAGCGGUGGAAUGCGCAGAUAUCGGGAGGAACACCAGUAGCGAAGGCGGCACUCUGGGCCGGUACUGGACGCUGAGGAGCGAAAGCGUGGGGAGCAAACAGG